rnacentral:miRNA from 1 species
UCAAUUAGAAAAUGAUAAGUG